rnacentral:snRNA from 1 species
AUCCCAGUGCACGGGCGUUUUCCUUCUCCGUGAAGCGAUAAGCUGAGAGAGGAAUUUUGCUAGUUGAAAACUACAACAAGACCACUCCUCGUUGGGUUCGCCCGGCGAGGGAAUUUUUAGACACUUUCCAUG